GAUUACUUAACACGUUACGCUUUUUGGUAAGAAUUAUAAACAAACUGAAAAGCAAAAUUUCAUGCUUCUUCGAAGUGUAACAUGCUUACAAAAAAAUAAGUAUGUUUAUAAAAUGAAAUUAAGUAUGUUUACAGAACAAGUACUUUUAGCAACACACUUAUCAUAGAUUUAACGUACUUGAGAAUCAGCGUCAUUAAGAACUUGGCCAACGGUAAUGUAUUCCUAAUAUCUGACGUUUUUUUUACCCGCCUUCUCUCCGACAUUUUCUCCGAUGGCUUUCUCCUAGCUUUUACCGACUACGUUCCCAGAGUCAUCUCAUCAGCCAUCGUUUCCGUAUCGUCUACACUUCAUGCGAGGUUCAGGUGAUUUGAAGCAAUCUGGCGAUCACCUGAACAACAAAAGAACGUGACAUAUCAUUUAUGAGCGAGAAUUUUGGAACCGUGUUGAACUCGAAGAACUUCAAAAAGAAAUUAUCUGGAGAAUCCCCUUUAAUGACGUGGAAAACAAUGAAUCCCCUUAUCCUAGCCUGAAACUAAUUCAUUUCGUUCAAUUCACAACGAUAAAAAAAACUAGCCACAUCUUUUGGCCUCUUGUACUCCAAGAAAAUAGUUUUUCAGUGAAUUUUUUUUUACUCUCUUAGGUUUCGAAAUCAAUAAGUUCCUUAUUGAUCCAAAUUUUUUAACAAAUAAAUAAAUUGCACUAGGUUGUACCACUGAUGAGACUUUUUCCAGGGAAAAAAAUUUCUCCUUUCAUCCA